rnacentral:rRNA from 1 species
GACGAACGCUGGCGGCGUGCUUAACACAUGCAAGUCGAACGAUGAAGCUAGAGCUUGCUCUGGUGAAUUAGUGGCGAACGGGUGAGUAACACGUGAGUAACCUGCCCCGAACUCUGGGAUAACUGCUGGAAACGGUAGCUAAUACUGGAUACGACCUACGAAGGCAUCUUCUGUAGGUGGAAAGAAUUUCGGUUCGGGAUGGACUCGCGGCCUAUCAGCUUGUUGGUGAGGUAAUGGCUCACCAAGGCGACGACGGGUAGCCGGCCUGAGAGGGGGACCGGCCCAACUGGGGCCGAGGACCUGCCCCGGAUCCUACGGGAGGGAGGAGUGGGGAAUAUUGCACAAUGGGCGCCAGGCUGAAGCCGGCACGCCGCGGGGGGGAUGACGGCCUUCGGGUUGUAAACCUCUUUUAGUAGGGAAGAAGCGAAAGUGACGGUACCUGCAGAAAAAGCACCGGCUAACUACGUGCCAGCCGCCGCAGUAA